CCGAGCAGCUGGGGUGGUAGCGGUGCCCUGUACCAACAAUCCGCUAUAGUUGGAGUGAUGCUCUGCCCCGGAUUUUUCGUCUGUGGGGCUGCCUUUUAUAAGUGGUGAUGACGUUUGGGUCUUACGCAAUGGAAAUCUACGAACCGUGUCAGGUUGGGAACAAAGCAGCACUAAGUAGAACCUUUCAUGUGCCGUAAGGUCGCCUGGGCCGAGCUAACUGUAGAAGUAACGCUCAUGGACCUGAUUCAAAGCAGAGCGCUCGG
rfam:Roseburia sp. 499 contig000004, whole genome shotgun sequence.